CAUCUCAUUAUAUAUAUUUUUUUAAUUUUAUUUAUAAAUAUAUAUAUAUAUUUAUUAUAUAUAGUAUUUUAUUUUUAUAUAGAAAUAUUAUUAUAUAAUAUUUUAUUUAUAAAUUUGUAAUUAUUUAUUAAUAUCUCUAAAUAUAUUAACAUGUUUAUUAUAAUUUUAAAUAUAUUUAAUCUAUAUAUAAAAAUUAUAAUAAUAUAUAAAAUAUUAUAAUUAUUAUAUAUNAAUAAAAAAUAUUAAAUCGUUUUUUAUCUUUUUUUUUUUCUUCCAACUAAACCACCGUCAUGAAAAACUUUUUUUUUCCUCCAAACCAAACACUAACAACAUAAAACCGUUUUUUCACCGAAAAUUUUUUUUCACUGAAAAUUUUUUUUUCUACAGUUUUACGUGGGACCAAAGACACCCUUAGUCUCUAACCGAAAAACAAGAUAUGGGGGAUUCGAAUUUGGUACGUCCUAUUUUAAUGCCAUAUGAAACAACCGGUUUCCAAAAGGCCGAAUAUCGAAAUAUGUAUAAUAUUAUUGUAAGAUCCCAGAUAGUCCUAUAUAUGAGAUAUAAUAGGAUUAAAAAUUUUUAAUCCGGCUAUAGCAUUUUGCACGGUGGUUAGACCUAAGAUGUUAAGAGAGUAAACGAAUUAGGACUAGAAUAGUUCUAAGAUGGAUGAUCUUCUGAAAAGUGGGGUGUCACAGUUGGUAUCAAAGUCAAUUACCGGUCGAAAGUAUAAGAUGAGUCUCGACUAAGUCAAAUUAUAAGUGGGAAGAUUGAGGUUCUCAUGCUGAUGACUAUUUUGGAUAGAGUGCGGUUCACUAUAAAAUCGACUAAGACUAGCGAAACGAGUCUCAUAUCGUAUGAUACUUGUGAGUCUAAACCUGACGAAAAUGUGGCCAUCACAGUUAUCA
rnacentral:lncRNA from 1 species